rnacentral:rRNA from 2 species
AAAUUGAAGAGUUUGAUCAUGGCUCAGAUUGAACGCUGGCGGCAGGCCUAACACAUGCAAGUCGAACGGUAACAGGAAGCAGCUUGCUGCUUCGCUGACGAGUGGCGGACGGGUGAGUAAUGUCUGGGAAACUGCCUGAUGGAGGGGGAUAACUACUGGAAACGGUGGCUAAUACCGCAUAACGUCGCAAGACCAAAGAGGGGGACCUUCGGGCCUCUUGCCAUCAGAUGUGCCCAGAUGGGAUUAGCUUGUUGGUGAGGUAACGGCUCACCAAGGCGACGAUCCCUAGCUGGUCUGAGAGGAUGACCAGCCACACUGGAACUGAGACACGGUCCAGACUCCUACGGGAGGCAGCAGUGGGGAAUAUUGCACAAUGGGCGCAAGCCUGAUGCAGCCAUGCCGCGUGUAUGAAGAAGGCCU